rnacentral:rRNA from 1 species
GGCUAACUAGGUGCCAGCAGCCCCGGUAAUACGUAGGGGGCGAGCGUUAUCCGGAAUUACUGGGCGUAAAGGACGCGUAGGUGGAUAUUUAAGUGGGAUGUGAAAUCCCCGGGCUCAACCCGGGAACUGCAUUCCAAACUGGAUUUCUGGAGUGCAGGAAAGGAAGGCGAAAUUCCUAGUGUAGGGGUGAAAUGCGUAAAUAUUAGGAGGAACACCAUUGGCAAAGGCGGCUUUCUGGACUGUAACUGACACUGAGGCAUGAAAGCUUGGGUAGCAAACAGGAUUAAAUACCCUGGUAGUCCACGCCGUAAACAAUGGGGACUAGCUGUAGGGGGUAUCAACUCCCCCUGUGCCGUCGUAAACACAAUAAGUACCCCGCCUGGGAAGUACGGUCGCAAAAUUAAAACUCAAAGGACUUGACGGAGA